rnacentral:misc_RNA from 1 species
AGAUGGCAGCUCUCUGUGAUUUGAUUUCAGCCGGAUUGAUAGAGAAGGAUACAAAUGAUGAUAUUUUAUGGACAUGGUCAUAUCCCAUGGUUACUGAACAACAGAGAGCAUUGUUCACUAGGAAGUGUUGUCUCAGUCAAGGAAAUGAACAUUUUGUUGAAUUUCUAUACAGUCAGCUGGGCCGUCAAUGGUAUUACACCUUUACUCACAAAGUUGACAACAGAGAUAACUUACCCAAGGUGCAAGCCUUCUCUUUAAUUCUUCUAGCAAAAGAUUUCAACCCAGAAAAAUACGAAGCUCUUUGCCAGAUUCUUUGUCAACGUUACUGUAAAACAGGUUCACCAACUUCAAUACUGGAAGUGUAUCUAGCAGUUGUGACAAAGGGAAAAUGCAACAGCGAGGAAAAUGGGAAAUUUUCAACUCAAGAUUAUCAAAUAAAACACGCUUAUGCAAAUUCAAAUCUAGCUGGUAUUAUAGAGGUGUUUGGUGUGGAGACUAUAUUGAUAUACACAGCAUUGUUACUAAAGAAAAGGAUAGCUGUUUACUUCCCACCUCAUUCUAUACAAGAUUUGUUACAGUUUACAAGGUCAUUGCCCGCUUUUGUGUGGCAUCGCCAGAACUGGAAUAUAGUUUAUCCAUAUGUUGAAUUGGUAGAUGAGGAGGUGGACCAACUGAAGACAAGUAAUCACUAUGUGGCGGGAUUUACAGAUGCAACUAUCGAGUCAAGGAGUGACCUUUAUGACGUAUUUGUGAAUGGAACAGCGGGGCAGAUAAGUGUAGCACCACAUGCCAAAGGUAAAAGAAAUGCAUUUCAAGUGAUGGUAGUGUUUUGCAAAAAAAUCAGUUAUGAUCCAGUAGUAGAAACAAAGAGGAAGUAGUUAAAGAUGCACUUGCAAUGGGGAAAUUACAUAAAGACAUUGCCAUGUUUAUGGUGAAACUGAUUGAAGACGAAGAAAUAAAUCAGCAGCAAGUGAUAAAGGAGGUAGCCAACAGAACCA